rnacentral:rRNA from 1 species
CCUACGGGUGGCUGCAGUGGGGAAUAUUGCACAAUGGGGGAAACCCUGAUGCAGCAACGCCGCGUGAGUGAAGAAGUAUCUCGGUAUGUAAAGCUCUAUCAGCAGGGAAGAAAAUGACGGUACCUGACUAAGAAGCCCCGGCUAACUACGUGCCAGCAGCCGCGGUAAUACGUAGGGGGCAAGCGUUAUCCGGAUUUACUGGGUGUAAAGGGAGCGUAGACGGUGUGGCAAGUCUGAAGUGAAAGCCCGGGGCUCAACCCCGGGACUGCUUUGGAAACUGUCAUGCUGGAGUGCUGGAGAGGUAAGCGGAAUUCCUAGUGUAGCGGUGAAAUGCGUAGAUAUUAGGAGGAACACCAGUGGCGAAGGCGGCUUACUGGACAGUAACUGACGUUGAGGCUCGAAAGCGUGGGGAGCAAACAGGAUUAGAUACCCUUGUAGUC